UGAGGAAUGGCGAAGUGGUCAACGCAGAGGGCUUUGACCCCUCCAUUCGUCCGUUCGAGCCGGACUUCCUCAA
rnacentral:tRNA from 1 species